rnacentral:rRNA from 1 species
UUGGAGGGCAAGUCUGGUGCCAGCAGCCGCGGUAAUUCCAGCUCCAAUAGCGUAGAUUAAAGUUGCUGCAGUUAAAAAGCUCGUAGUUGAAUUUCGGGGUUAGUAGGUUGGUCAUGCCUCUGGUAUGUACUGGUCUCACUGAUUCCUCCUUCCUGAUGAACCUUAAUGCCAUUAAUUUGGUGUUUUGGGGAAUUUGGACUGUUACUUUGAAAAAAUUAGAGUGUUUAAAGCAAGCUAACGCUUGAAUACAUUAGCAUGGAAUAAUGAAAUAGGACGUUCGAUCCUAUUUUGUUGGUUUCUAGGAUUGACGUAAUGAUUAAUAGGGAUAGUUGGGGGCAUUAGUAUUCAAUUGUCAGAGGUGAAAUUCUUGGAUUUAUUGAAGACUAACUACUGCGAAAGCAUUUGCCAAGGAUGUUUUCAUUAAUCAAGAACGAAAGUUAGGGGAUCGAAGACGAUCAGAUACCGUCGUAGUCUUAACCAUAAACUAUGCCGACUAGGGAUCGGAUGAUGUUAAUUUUUUAAUGACUCAUUCGGCGCCUUACGGGAAAC